rnacentral:rRNA from 1 species
GAUGAACGCUGGCGGCGUGCCUAAUACAUGCAAGUCGAGCGAAGCGGGGACGGGUGAGUAACACGUGGAUAACCUCCUCUAAGACUGGGAUAACUUCGGGAAACCGGAGCUAUACCGGAUACUUAUACAUGGAUCCGCGCUGCAUUAGCUAGUUGGUAAGGUAACGGCUUACCAAGGCAACGAUGGAUAGCCGACCGGAGAGGGUGAUCGGCCACACUGGAACGGAGACACGGUCCAGACCCCUACGGGGGGCAGCAGUAGGGAAUCUUCCGCAAGGGGGGAAAGCCUGACGGGGCAACGCCGCGUGGGGGAGGAAGGUCUUGGGAUCUUAAAACUCUGUUAUUAGGGAAGCGGUACCGAAUCAGAAAGCCACGGCUAACUACGUGCCAGCAGCCGCGGUAAUAC